UGGGGAAUAUUGCACAAUGGGCGCAAGCCUGAUGCAGCCAUGCCGCGUGUGUGAAGAAGGCCUUCGGGUUGUAAAGCACUUUCAGCGAGGAGGAAGGUGGUGAGCUUAAUACGCUCAUCAAUUGACGUUACUCGCAGAAGAAGCACCGGCUAACUCCGUGCCAGCAGCCGCGGUAAUACGGAGGGUGCAAGCGUUAAUCGGAAUUACUGGGCCGUAAAGCGCACGCAGGCGGUUUGUUAAGUCAGAUGUGAAAUCCCCGGGCUCAACCUGGGAACUGCAUUUGAAACUGGCAAGCUAGAGUCUCGUAGAGGGGGGUAGAAUUCCAGGUGUAGCGGUGAAAUGCGUAGAGAUCUGGAGGAAUACCGGUGGCGAAGGCGGCCCCCCUGGACGAAGACUGACGCUCAGGUGCGAAAGCGUGGGGCAGCAAACAGGAUUAGAUACCCUGGUGUCCACGCUGUAAACGAUGUCGACUUUGGAGGUUGUGCCCUUGAGGCGCGGCUUCCGGAGCUAACGCGUUAAAUCGACCGCCUGGGGAGUGCGGCCGCAAGGUUAAAAC
rnacentral:rRNA from 1 species